rnacentral:miRNA from 1 species
CGGGAUUUUGGGGGCGAGAUGA